UGAUCAGCUUCCCUGGAUUUCGCUGACGCCACAGGAAAGCUUUGCCUGAAGAUGGAAACACUGGAGUCGGAACUGACCUGCCCUAUCUGUCUGGAGCUGUUUGAAGAUCCGCUGCUGCUGCCUUGCGCUCACAGCCUCUGCUUCAACUGCGCGCACCGCAUCCUGGUCUCCCACUGCGCCACCAACGAGCCGGUGGAGUCUAUCACCGCCUUCCAGUGCCCGACCUGCCGCUAUGUCAUCACCCUCAGCCAGCGCGGUCUAGACGGGCUCAAGCGCAACGUCACCCUGCAGAACAUCAUCGACAGGUUUCAGAAAGCCUCGGUCAGCGGGCCCAAUUCUCCCAGCGAGACCCGCCGGGAGCGGGCGUUCGAUAGCAACAGCAUGUCGUCCUGCGAGAAGGUCCUCUGCCAGUUCUGCGACCAGGACCCUGCCCAGGAGGCGGUGAAAACCUGCGUUACCUGUGAGGUGUCCUACUGCGAGGAGUGCCUGAAAGCCACUCACCCCAACAAGAAGCCGUUCACCGGCCACCGGCUCAUAGAGCCCAUCCCGGACUCUCACAUCAGGGGAUUAAUGUGCUUGGAGCACGAGGACGAGAAAGUUAACAUGUACUGCGUGACUGACGACCAGUUAAUCUGUGCCUUGUGUAAGCUAGUCGGGCGACACCGUGACCAUCAGGUGGCGGCUUUAAGCGAGCGCUACGACAAGCUAAAGGUUAGUGCUACCUGUCGGCCUUUCCGGCCACGCGGCGUGCGGUUGGGAAGGAGAGCGCCCUUCGGUUGCGUGCUGAAUUCUUCCUUUGGGCAGGGGUUCGGAAAAGUUAGGUGCGCGGUCUCUAAUCGGACGAGAUACACGUACGGUUCUAUAUAUGCAUUUGCUCAUCACCAUUGA